UGAGGAAUAAUGGGCAAUGCCCGCAAGGGUGACCCAGCAACGCCGCGUGGAGGAUGAAUGUCGUAAGAUUGUAAACUCCUGUUAGAGGGGAAGAAUAGUACCGGUUGGACCGGUAUAUGACUGUACCCUCAGAGAAAGCCCCGGCUAACUACGUGCCAGCAGCCGCGGUAAUACGUAGGGGGCAAGCGUUGUCCGGAUUUACUGGGUGUAAAGGGCGCGCAGGCGGGAUAAAAAGUCAGUGGUGAAAUCCUACAGCUUAACUGUAGAACUGCCUUUGAUACUUUUAUUCUUGAGUUCGGGAGAGAGAGACGGAAUUCCAGGGGUAGUGGUGAAAUACGUAGAUAUCUGGAAGAACACCAGUUGCGAAGGCGGUCUCUUGGUCCGACACUGACGCUGAGGCGCGAAAGCGUGGGGAGCAAAC
rnacentral:rRNA from 1 species